GACGAACGCUGGCGGUGUGCUUCGCACAUGCAAGUCGAACGAGGUAGCAAUACCUAGUGGCGGACGGGUGAGUAAACGCGUGGGAAUCUGCCUUUAGAUGGGGGAUAACGGGUCGAAAGACUCGCUAAUACCGCGUAUGACGAAAGUUGAAAGGAGUAAUCCGUCUAAAGAUGAGCCCGCGUCCGAUUAGCUAGUUGGUAGAGUAAAAGCCUACCAAGGCGACGAUCGGUAGCUGGUCUGAGAGGAUGAUCAGCCACAAUGGGACUAGAGACACGGCCCAUACUCCUACGGGAGGCAGCAGUGGGAAUUUUACGCAAUGGGCGAAAGCCUGACGUAGCGACACCGCGUGAGCGAAGAAGCCCCUUGGGGUGUAAAGCUCUGUCAGCUGGACGAAAAAAUGACGGUACCAGCAGAGAAGCAUCGGCUAACUACGUGCCAGCAGCCGCGGU
rnacentral:rRNA from 1 species